rnacentral:rRNA from 1 species
AAGAGGUUAAACAUAAAGAGCGUAGGGUGGAUGCCUAGGCACUGACAGCCGAAGAAAGACGUGACAAGCUGCGAAAAGCUGCGGGGAGAAGCACAUAUUCAGUGAUCCGCAGAUGUCUGAAUGGGGAAACCCACUUGGAAGAACUCCAAGUAUCUGUACGCCAAUACAUAACGUACAGAGGGGAACCCGGUGAACUGAAACAUCUAAGUAGCCGGAGGAAAAGAAAACAAAAGUGAUUGCGAAAGUAGCGGCGAGCGAAAUCGUAAGAGCCCAAACCGUGGUGCGUGCACUGCGGGGUUGAGGACUGCGACAUGAGUAAGAUACAUUACCUGAACCGUUUUGGAAAAGCGGGCCAAAGAGCGUGAGAGCCGUGUAAGGGAAAAUGUAUUUAAUCUAGCAGUAUCCAGAGUACCACGAGACACGAGAAACCUUGUGGGAAGCAGGGGGGACCACCCCCCAAGGCUAAAUACUAGUCAGUGACCGAUAGCGUAUAGUACUGUGAAGGAAAGGUGAAAAGAACCCCGGGAGGGGAGUGAAAAAGAACCUGAAACCCUAUGUUUACAAACUGUGGAACACCGAAAGGUGAACCGCGUACUUUUUGUAGAACGGUCCGGCGAGUUACAUGUACAGGCGAGGUUAAGUAUUAAAGAUACGGAGCCGAAGGGAAACCAAGUCUUAAUAGGGCGAAUGUAGUCAGUAUGUGUAGACCCGAAACCGGGUGAUCUAUCCAUGUCCAGGUUGAAGUUCGCGUAAAAGUGAAUGGAGGACCGAACGCACAUCCGUUGAAAAGGGUGGCGAUGAGGUGUGGAUAGGGGAGAAAUUCCAAUCGAACCCGGAGAUAGCUGGUUCUCCUCGAAAUAGUUUUAGGACUAGCCUCGUUAUUAGUCUACCGGAGGUAGAGCACUGAAUUUUUGCGGGGGCGUCAAAGCCUACCAAGAGAUAUCAAACUCCGAAUGCCGGAUAGAUGAUUAACGGGAGUCAGACUACACGAGAUAAGUUGGGUAGUCAAAAGGGAAAGAGCCCAGACCUACGGCUAAGGUCCCAAAGUGUGUGUUAAGUGGAAAAGGAUGUGGGAUUUCGAAGACAGCUAGGAUGUUGGCUUAGAAGCAGCCAUACAUUAAAAGAGUGCGUAACAGCUCACUAGUCGAGAGGUCCUGCGCCGAAAAUGUCCGGGGCUAAACACACCACCGAAGCCUAGGAAUGUAAUAUAUACAUUGGUAGAGGAGCAUUCUUAGAGGCGUAGAAGCCAUACCGAAAGGAGUGGUGGAGUAAUAAGAAGAGAGAAUGCCGGAAUGAGUAGCGAGAAAGAGGUGAGAAUCCUCUUGGCCGAAUAUCUAAGGUUUCCUGAGUAAAGCUGAUCUACUCAGGGUAAGUCGGGGCCUAAGGCAAGGUCGAAAGACGUAGUCGAUGGAUAACAGGUACAGAUUCCUGUACUACAUAUAAUCAGAACUGUGGGGACACGGAGACUAAAAACCGAACCCGGGAGGACAAAAACCGGGGCAAGCGAAGUACCUGUAUGGGAGGAAAAGCCACCAUGCAAAGGGAAGACGUGAUGCGUACCGAAAAAUAGUAGGGAAGUCGGUUAGGGAGCCGUCAAGAAAAGCCGCUAUUGUAUUAUAUGUACCCGUACCGCAAACCGACACAGGUAGAUGAGGAGAGAAUCCUAAGGCCGGCGGGAGAAGCAUUGUUAAGGAACUCGGCAAAAUGACCCCGUAACUUCGGGAGAAGGGGUGCCACUAGAAAUAGUGGUCGCAGAAAAAAGGCUCAAGCAACUGUUUAGCAAAAACACAGGUCUAUGCGAAACCGCAAGGUGAAGUAUAUGGGCUGACGCCUGCCCGGUGCUGGAAGGUUAAGAGGAGAAGUCAGGAAACGAAGCUUUGAAUUGAAGCCCCAGUAAACGGCGGCCGUAACUAUAACGGUCCUAAGGUAGCGAAAUUCCUUGUCGGGUAAGUUCCGACCCGCACGAAAGGCGUAAUGAUUUGAGCGCUGUCUCAACAAUGCACCCGGUGAAAUUGAAGUACCAGUGAAGAUGCUGGUUACCUGCGCCAGGACGGAAAGACCCCAUGGAGCUUUACUCCAGUUUGGUACUGGGAUUCGGUAAUACUCGUACAGGAUAGGUGGGAGAC